AACAGUUGCAAAGAGUUGUCACGUCAUCGAUCCGUGUCUCACCAUUUUUUUACUCCACUUUCUCACCCUUUCACUUCCCUUUCUCUUUCAGAUUCACCGACUUUCAAAAUUUUGCUCUCUUCCACCAAACCUUGCUGUACGUGGGACACCAGCGUCGAUUCUCCAUGACCAUGGCUACAACUGGAAGCCUCCAAGGCUCACACGACCACCACCGGCGGUGCUUGCUGGCCUGACCUUCUCCUCUCUUUAGGUCUCUGUUUUUUCGCUCUCUCAAGUCCAGCCGUGGCCAAGCUUCUUGGUUGCACCGCGACACCACCAUUUCUGUCAAGAAGCAAGAGCCGCACCAACUAUAACUUAAUGAGCAAGUCAUGCCAUUUAAGGUUGUAGAAGAACUUGAUCUUGAAGCUUACAAGACCUUCUUCUUCUUCUUUUCUUUUGUGGGAUUUAUGUAUUAUGAAUAUAUGGUGAUGGGAAGAUUUGUUUCUUGUUAAAGUGUAUAUUUCAACAAAACUAUUGUUAUAUGGCCUUGUGGUCAAAGUGUACAUUCUAAUAAAAAAAAAUUCAUUUUUAGAACAACUUAA